GAUGAACGCUGGCGGCGUGCCUAAUACAUGCGAGUCGAGCGAACAGACGAGGAGCUUGCUCCUCUGACGUUAGCGGCGGACGGGUGAGUAACACGUGGAUAACCUACCUAUAAGACUGGGAUAACUUCGGGAAACCGGAGCUAAUACCGGAUAAUAUAUUGAACCGCAUGGUUCAAUAGUGAAAGACGGUUUUGCUGUCACUUAUAGAUGGAUCCGCGCCGCAUUAGCUAGUUGGUAGGGUAACGGCUUACCAAGGCGACGAUGCGUAGCCGACCUGAGAGGGUGAUCGGCCACACUGGAACUGAGACACGGUCCAGACUCCUACGGGAGGCAGCAGUAGGGAAUCUUCCGCAAUGGGCGAAAGCCUGACGGAGCAACGCCGCGUGAGUGAUGAAGGUCUUCGGAUCGUAAAACUCUGUUAUUAGGGAAGAACAAAUGUGUAAGUAACUAUGCACGUCUUGACGGUACCUAAUCAGAAAGCCACGGCUAACUACGUG
rnacentral:rRNA from 1 species